rnacentral:rRNA from 1 species
UACGUAGGGUGCAAGCGUUGUCCGGAAUUAUUGGGCGUAAAGAGCUCAUAGGCGGUUUGUUGCGUCGGCUGUGAAAUCCCGAGGCUCAACCUCGGGUCUGCAGUCGAUACGAGCAAACUAGAGUGUUGCAGGAGAGUGGAAUUCCUGGUGUAGCGGUGAAAUGCGCAGAUAUCAGGAAGAACACCCGUGGCGAAAGCGGCUCUCUGGAAACGGUACUGACGCUGAGACGCGAAAGCGUGGGGAGCGAACAGG